AUUGAACGCUAGCGGGAUGCCUUACACAUGCAAGUCGAACGGAGUGGCGAACGGGUGCGUAAUGUAUCGGAACGUGACAAGUAGCGGGGGAUAACUACGCGAAAGCGUAGCUAAUACCGCAUACUAUUGGAGCGGCCGAUAUCGGGUUAGCUAGUUGGAGGGGUAACGGCUAACCAAGGCGACGAGCCGUAGCUGGUAUGAGAGGACGACCAGCCACACGGGGACUGAGACUCGGCCCCUACUCCUACGUGAGGCAGCAGUGGGGAAUGUUGGACAAUGGGGGAAACCCUGAUCCAGCCAUCCCGCGUGUGCGAUGAAGGCCUUCGGGUUGUAAAGCACUUUUGGCAGGAAAGCGGUACCUGCAGAAUAAGCACCGGCUAACUACGUGCCAGCAGCCGCGGUAAUUC
rnacentral:rRNA from 1 species